UGGAGAUUUUGCCAUUGUCAAGUUUCCUGACGAAGGAGAUGCUGUUGCUGUAGUACGACGCAGCUGGAUACGUGGUGGAAUGUGUAUGUGGCCACAAAAGGCUAAAAAUGUGCAAGAGAUGGUGAAAAGCUGCACUGAGCCAGGUUCAGAAUGGAUUCAAACCACAUGUGUGGUUCUUGGUAUGUAUGAUAAUUAUAAAGAAGCAAGUAAUAAGCUCUCCAAAGCAGAGCUCACGUCAAACUUGGAUACAGACCCUGACGAGCCAAGGAGGAGGAAGAAAAAGCGGCAGUGCGAUAGCAGCUCAGAUGAGUCUGUUGAGCCAUACAGUCUUCCAACUCCACCAAAAACUCCCAGAAUGCCUUUUGCAGCCUGUGAACUGCUAAGUGGUAAAGCAGCCAAAGAAGCAACCUUUAGUGAAAAGAAGAAAGGGCCCACUCACCCAGAUUUCAGCAGCUACCGGCAGCAAGGCCUCUCCUCGUCACUGCACUGCUCCUGCUGGGACAUCGCGCCACAGCAGCCAGAAUAACGAGGUUGCUAAAGAAUCUACGCGAAGGAAGGACAUGACACCAGCACCAAAAUGUGACCAAAGUUAGUAUUGCAAGCUCAUUUGAUUUGAAUGCUAACAUAUUAGUUUUGGACUUAUUGCAUGUCCAAAGGUGGUAUUCUAUGGACAUCAAU